rnacentral:rRNA from 1 species
UAAGGAAUAUUGGACAAUGGAGGAAACUCUGAUCCAGCCAUGCCGCGUGCAGGAAGAAUGCCUUAUGGGUUGUAAACUGCUUUUUUAAAGGAAGAAAUACUCAUUCGUGAAUGGGUUUGACGGUACUUUAAGAAUAAGGAUCGGCUAACUCCGUGCCAGCAGCCGCGGUAAUACGGAGGAUCCAAGCGUUAUCCGGAAUUAUUGGGUUUAAAGGGUCCGCAGGCGGUUUGUUAAGUCAGAGGUGAAAUCCUACCGCUCAACGGUAGAACUGCCUUUGAUACUGGCAAACUUGAGUUAUUGUGAAGUAAUUAGAAUGUGUAGUGUAGCGGUGAAAUGCUUAGAUAUUACACAGAAUACCGAUUGCGAAGGCAGAUUACUAACAAUCAACUGACGCUCAGGGACGAAAGCGUGGGUAGCGAACAGG